rnacentral:lncRNA from 1 species
CCUUGAUGAUUACAAUCAAACCACAAAAGCAUGUAUAUUAGGAGAAGAUCAGAAGUUAUAUACCAUCAUGAAGAUCACAAACUAAUAAUUUUGAGAUCUUCACAAGACUCCAAUGUAGAAGCCCUCCAACGGUGAUCCAUACAGGAUUGACCAGGGCCCUUCCCAACUUGAUAUAAUACUGCAGUCUUCUUUGUAAGUACGCUGUAGAUCGUCCUUCGCAAGAACUCAUUGCACUAUUACUUGUAUGCUUUCAUGACCUCCACUAGGACCUCUUUAGGAAUUAUUCUUUAAAAGAUCACACCACACAAGAAUUAAAUCAGAUGUUCAACACUUGAACAUUCUGAUUUUUGGACAAGCAUCACAUGCUUUCCAAUUUUUCUCUCCCUUCCUUUCCAUUUUCUCUCCCUCUUCUCUUACAUUUUUUUCAAACUUUAUCUUAUCUUUUUCCUCUCAUUCUCACACCAAAAU